CUUGGCUCAUUUCUUCAAGCUGUGUUCUUCUGGUGUGGUUGUUUUCCUUCUUAUUUGUCUCCCUUUUAGCACAUUGAAGAUGGACACAAGGAACUGUUGUGCUGCUCACCCUAUUUUACAACAACUUUUGCAACAGUUUUGUUUCCCUUGAAGUUCUAAUUAGCUGAAGGCCUAUGAUUGUGAUAAAAUUUCAGCAUUUAUUUUGUGGAGAGAAAAAAAAAAGUUUUUAAGUCCUGUAGCUGCAGAAAGCACUUCAGAAUAGAAUACUUCUAGCUUUAAAAUGAAUAAGAAUAAAGCAAAUGAAGUCCAGAAAUUAUUAUAAAGUUAUGAGUGUACAUCAGUCAAAUGAAUCUUAGAGGUGAAAGGCAAAUAAAAAUAAUUUAUCAUUUUAAAACAUUGGUGUAUUUUAUGUCAGCAGAAACAGAAGAGGAAGAAGAAAGCAAAUCUGAAAAGAUGCUGAAGAGUUUUGAAGAUCCUUUCCAAUCUUUGGCUUUCAAUGCAGAGGAUGUUUGACAUCUUGCAACAAGUACCAUGUUUCAGGCACCUGAGAGGACAACAGCUUGACUUUCUAAACCUUCUGAGACUGGAAAUUGGAUGGUUUAUUCGCAAGAAUUUGCAUUUUUGUCUUGCUGAUUCUUCUUAAUUUCUUUAUUAUAGGUUCCACUGUCUGAAGAUAAAUAUAGAAAUCUUUCCAAACAAGACCAUAUGUUUGGAGAAAAUAGCCAAACCUGAGCAAUUCUAAAUGGACUUUUUGUUCCUGAAUAAUAUUUCAUUUACUAAAUCCUCUUGAACAAUUUGUUUCAGGAUGAGAGUUACUUUUUACUUAAAUUAUUUUAAUAGUAGUAUUUUUAUGUGGCACUAUAAAAGAUCUUCAAUAACAAUCCUGUAGUUCUUAAAUAAUUAAUUAAUUGUAUGGGAAAGAGCUUCCUAAUGAUGACAUUAUUCCAUUGCAUGAUGAACAUAACAGACCACAAUUCUAGCAAGCUGGCAAAAUAUGAAUAUCAAGCUUUUCUAUGAUCACUGGCUUUUAUUAUUAGGAAUUUUAAUUUAACUAUAAAUAACAGUGUCAACACAUAUAUUAAGAAGGAUAAAAUUAGACUUUUACAUGAAAAUAUGAAAAAAAACUCGGAGCAGUUAUAUAGCAUUUAGUAUAAAUGUUAAGCAGGAUUUGAACUGGUAACAUUUUGUUUCCAGGACUAAAAUAUCUUAUUAGGAUAUAAUUGCUUCUAUUAAGGAUAUGGAAGAACUUUGUAUGUCUAAAUCAAUACAAAACAAAUAAGAAAUACUGGUGGUCCUUCACUUUGCAAAAAAGACAUCUAUUUUCAGCUAAAAGCAUUCUCACAGCUUAUGAUGAGUGACAGUACAUAAUAAUGAUGCCACUUAUUUCUUGGAAUCAAGAUCAGAGGCGCAGGCUCAGGAGUUUUCAUAGAUCUUUUGUUAUGUGGCA
rnacentral:lncRNA from 1 species